GGGUGUUGAAUAUGUUUUUGC
rnacentral:siRNA from 1 species